rnacentral:rRNA from 1 species
CCUACGGGAGGCAGCAGUGAGGAAUAUUGGUCAAUGGACGAGAGUCUGAACCAGCCAAGUAGCGUGAAGGAUGACUGCCCUAUGGGUUGUAAACUUCUUUUAUAUGGGAAUAAAAUGUUCCACGUGUGGGAUUUUGUAUGUACCAUAUGAAUAAGGAUCGGCUCACUCCGUGCCAGCAGCCGCGGUAAUACGGAGGAUCCGAGCGUUAUCCGGAUUUAUUGGGUUUAAAGGGAGCGUAGGUGGAUUGUUAAGUCAGUUGUGAAAGUUUGCGGCUCAACCGUAAAAUUGCAGUGGAAACUGGCAGUCUUGAGUACAGUAGAGGUGGGCGGAAUUCGUGGUGUAGCGGUGAAAUGCUUAGAUAUCACGAAGAACUCCGAUUGCGAAGGCAGUUCACUGGACUGCAACUGACACUGAGGCUCGAAAGUGUGGGUAUCAAACAGGAUUAGAUACCCUUGUAGUC